GACGAACGCUGGCGGCGUGCCUAAUACAUGCAAGUAGAACGCUGAAGGAGGAGCUUGCUUCUCUGGAUGAGUUGCGAACGGGUGAGUAACGCGUAGGUAACCUGCCUGGUAGCGGGGGAUAACUAUUGGAAACGAUAGCUAAUACCGCAUAAGAGUAGAUGUUGCAUGACAUUUGCUUAAAAGGUGCAAUUGCAUCACUACCAGAUGGACCUGCGUUGUAUUAGCUAGUUGGUGAGGUAACGCCUCACCAAGGCAACGAUACAUAGCCGAACUGUGAGGGUGAUCAGCCACACUGGGACUGAGACACGGCCCAGACUCCUACGGGAGGCAGCAGUAGGGAAUCUGCGGCAAUGGACGGAAGUCUGACCGAGCAACGCCGCGUGAGUGAAGAAGGUUUUCGGAUCGUAAAGCUCUGUUGUAAGAGAAGAACGAGUGUGAGAGUGGAAAGUUCACACUGUGACGGUAUCUUACCAGAAAGGGACGGCUAACUACGUG
rnacentral:rRNA from 1 species